rnacentral:ncRNA from 1 species
CUUGGGGUGACCCAUGCAGUGAAGGAAGCCAAACGGCAAACUCUGGUACUGACGGACAGAAACCGUAUAUGAGGCUUUGUAAACCGGAUGAGCAAGCAUAUCAUUGUGACGUCCAAACACCAAGGAGGUGAGUGUUUAUAAAGUAGAUGCGGCAGGCAUUGGAGGAAGGAUACAGCA